rnacentral:rRNA from 1 species
UUUAAAUUGAGAGUUUGAUCCUGGCUCAGGACGAACGCUGGCGGCGUGCCUAACACAUGCAAGUCGAGCGAUGAAAUUCCUUCGGGGAUGGAUUAGCGGCGGACGGGUGAGUAACACGUGGGCAACCUGCCU